AAGGCAAAAGCAACACCGAGGUUUCUUCGAUGCAGCUCCCAACAAAGCUGUAAAUGGCUGAAGCAGCCAGACCACCACGGUUUCUUCGAUGCAGCUCCCAGCGCCCACCAACUCUCUCUAGCCUGCUGCCUCGCGGCUCCUCUGUUACUCCUUGGUCAGAUCUGGACGACUCCUCGCUAAUCCUUCCAGAUCUGAUCUUGAUGUAAGCAGGGUCGGAUCCGACUCGGUUUAUCGAGUUCGGUCAGAUUGGACCCAUCCUAUUCGGGUCGGGUCCAAUCAGUUUGUGGGUGUCUGAGGUGCUGAAGUCGUAAUGUGUCGACCUCUCUCUCUUUUGUCCCUUUUGUUGCAGGUUGGUUAGAUUGCCCAGCAUUUGGUCAAGAGAUAGACUGCUUCAUUCCUUCUAAGGUUCCACUUGGUGAAUCCUUUAAUGACUGUAUUCCUCCUGCAAAAAGAUACUCGUUCAAGCAAGUGAAUCCGAUCUUGCCAUUUCGCAGCUCAGCUUCGGCUUUUUUGAUGAUUUGAUUUGAGCAUUGAAAGUUUGGCGUUGGAUUAAUCUAUGGGGGAAUUGGGGUUUGCCCUUUUGAGUUUGGACUUUUGUGGAGGAAUCAAAUCUGAGCCAUCUUCCGUUUCCAAUUUCACGAGCUGUGGUGUGGGCUUUGGGCUCAGUUGCAUUUUGCUUUGUUAGCUGGAAAUCUUCUGAUUAAGAUAUGCCAUUUCCAGUUCUUAGCUCAAACACUACAGCACAUGGAAUCAGUGCUGCAUGACUAUUCUGCAGGAGACCUGAUUCAUUCUCUGGAGGACCAAUUCAAUAGUUUACAGCUGUAGGAAUGUUGGACAUGUGUAUAGGUACUUUUUUCAGUUGUAAUGACAGAAUUACUGUCAUUUAUGUUUCGGUUUCUGUGUAAUGCAGUUUUGCAAAUCUUUGCAGAUGAGUUAAUGAAAUUAAUGUGUUGUUCUCUGAA